UGUCUCUGUUGUAACAUUCUUGCAGUUGCAAAAGUUUUCCUGUAGGCAAUGGCAGAGCGAAAACAUGAGAAGCGGAGCAUCACAUUGAAAGCAGGAUGUUCCAGUGUGUUUAUGUGUGAAACUGCAGAGACUCGCAGUAACACAGAGCUACAGCUCAAGCACGGAGAACAUUAAUACACAAUUCAUAUGACUGAGUAAACAUGGAAAAACACCUGUUUCUGAUUUUAUUUCUGACUUCCGGUGUGAUGACUGCAGACAAGAUUGGGCCAAAUAAAGAAGCUCUCGUCAUAAAGAAGGAAGGUGAGAUUGUGACACUCAGCUGCUCAUAUGAAACAGACAGCAGUUAUGUCAGACUUUACUGGUACAGACAGUAUCCUAAUGGAGAGCCACAGUAUUUAUUAUAUAAGGCGGCACGAUCAAGUAGUGGAGAUGGGAACCCCUCUGAUCGCCGCUUUCAGUCGACUACAUCUCAAACAUCCACUGAACUCAAGAUUAAUGGUGUGACUCUGUCAGAUUCAGCUCUCUAUUAUUGUGCUCUAAGAGUAGCAGCCCAGUGAUACAAAGACUAUGUGAAGCUGUACAAAAACUCACAUUUAUUUUUCACUUUGAUCUCAAGCCACUUCAAACCCACAAUCUAUAAUUCACAUGAUAUUAUUACACCAGUGGAAACACCUGUGUGUGGUUACAAAUGACAGUUCAAGUUAUAAAGCCAAAAAAUAGAAAGAAAAAAGAGGUGAAAAGAGGUCAAAAUAACAGAUAAACAAUGCAUAUGCUAUUAGAUAUGUAACAUCCCACAUGACUUUAGUACAUCACAACUUGAUGAAUGUGAUUAAACAUUACAUUAUCAUCUGAUAUCUCCUCUGCUUGAGUCUGCCUGAAAGAGUCUGAUCAAUCCAAUAAAUGUCAUUUUACUUCUGAUUAAUUGAUUCUGACUUUAGUUACAGUGUUGAAUUAUUUCACAACAUUGGCUAAUGUUGCAUUUUGUGGAUUGUUAUUAAUAUGCAAAACCAUUAACCAUAAUAAAUGUGGACAUAUAUCACAAACAAUAUAGGAUAUAUAUAUAUAUAUUAAAAUUAAAUAAACUUUGAAACCUAGAUGAUGGCAGCAUGAAAAUAUGUC